rnacentral:rRNA from 1 species
UGAGGAACAUGACCUUCGGCGGGGGAGUAGCCGGCCCAACGGCCGGGUAAUACCGCGUACGACCACUUUGGGACAUCCCUAGGUGGUGAAAGCAGCAAUGCGCCGAUGGAGUGCCUCGCGGCCUAUCAGCUAGUUGGUGAGGUAACGGCUCACCAAGGCGACGACGGGUAGCUGGUCUGAGAGGAUGGCCAGCCACAUUGGGACUGAGACACGGCCCAGACCUCCUACGGGAGCAG